rnacentral:rRNA from 1 species
CUCAAAGGAAUUGACGGGGACCCGCACAAGCGGUGGAUGAUGUGGUUUAAUUCGAUGCAACGCGAAAAACCUUACCCACCUUUGACAUGUACGGAAUUUGCCAGAGAUGGCUUAGUGCUCGAAAGAGAACCGUAACACAGGUGCUGCAUGGCUGUCGUCAGCUCGUGUCGUGAGAUGUUGGGUUAAGUCCCGCAACGAGCGCAACCCUUGUCAUUAGUUGCUACAUUCAGUUGGGCACUCUAAUGAGACUGCCGGUGACAAACCGGAGGAAGGUGGGGAUGACGUCAAGUCCUCAUGGCCCUUAUAGGUGGGGCUACACACGUCAUACGAUGGCCGGUACAAAGGGCUGCCAACCCGCGAGGGGGAGCUAAUCCCAUAAAACCGGUCGUAGUCCGGAUCGCAGUCUGCAACUCGACUGCGUGAAGUCGGAAUCGCUAGUAAUCGUGGAUCAGAAUGUCACGGUGAAUACGUUCCCGGGUCUUGUACACACCGCCCGUCAC